rnacentral:rRNA from 1 species
AGAGUUUGAUCAUGGCUCAGAGUGAACGCUGGCGGCAGGCCUAAUACAUGCAAGUCGAACGGCAGCACAGCAGAGCUUGCUCUGGUGGGUGGCGAGUGGCGGACGGGUGAGGAAUACGUGGGAAUCUGCCCAGUCGUGGGGGAUAACGUAGGGAAACUUACGCUAAUACCGCAUGCGCCCUUCGGGGGAAAGCCGGGGACCUUCGGGCCUGGCGCGAUUGGAUGAGCCCACGUCGGAUUAGCUAGUUGGCGGGGUAAAGGCCCACCAAGGCGACGAUCCGUAGCUGGUCUGAGAGGAUGAUCAGCCACACUGGAACUGAGACACGGUCCAGACUCCUACGGGAGGCAGCAGUAGGGAAUAUUGGACAAUGGGCGCAAGCCUGAUCCAGCCAUGCCGCGUGAGUGAAGAAGGCCCUCGGGUUGUAAAGCUCUUUUGUCCGGAAAGAAAAGCGCCGGGUUAAUACCCUGGUGUCCUGACGGUACCGGAAGAAUAAGCACCGGCUAACUUCGUG